CUCUUUUUCCUUUCGUCGAACACGUAAUCUUCGUCAAGAAGACGCUUGUUUAUCGCCCAUUCUUUCCGUCAAAUUCACUUCUCUUCUUCUUCGCCAGGAUUUACGGGAUCAGAAUCGACUAUUUUGCUACUCACAGAGGUUAAAAGAAAGUAUCGCAACAAUGGCGGACUGUUCCAGACCUCUCAGCCUCUUGCAGAAUCAGUAUGUCAAAUUAUACUUUCGAAUGGCGACUGGAGCGAAUUUCAAGAACAGGAAGAGAACAAAGAAAUCGAAACAGCGAUGAUCCCUCGGAAUCCCCGGAGAACAUUUCGUCGCUGUCAGUGGAAGAAAUGCUAGAUUGGGCGUGUUGACGAAAUGACUUCCGCAGCAAA